GUCAUGGUGGACGAGUGGUUAAGGCGUUGGACUUGAAAUCCAAUGGGGUCUCCCCGCACAGGUUCGAAUCCUGUCCAUGACC
rnacentral:tRNA from 1 species